rnacentral:rRNA from 1 species
UACGUAGGUGGCAAGCGUUGUCCGGAUUUACUGGGCGUAAAGAGCGCGCAGGCGGUCGUUCAAGUCGCGUGUGAAAGCCCCCGGCUCAACUGGGGAGGGUCACGCGAUACUGAUCGACUGGAAGGCAGGAGAGGGUAGUGGAAUUCCCGGUGUAGUGGUGAAAUGCGUAGAUAUCGGGAGGAACACCAGUGACGAAGGCGAGUCUCUGGGAUGAUGCUGACGCUGAGGCGGCGAAAGCCAGGGGAGCAAACGGG